AUACGGAGGAUCCGAGCGUUAUCCGGAUUUAUUGGGUUUAAAGGGAGCGUAGGUGGAUUGUUAAGUCAGUUGUGAAAGUUUGCGGCUCAACCGUAAAAUUGCAGUUGAAACUGGCAGUCUUGAGUACAGUAGAGGUGGGCGGAAUUCGUGGUGUAGCGGUGAAAUGCUUAGAUAUCACGAAGAACUCCGAUUGCGAAGGCAGCUCACUAGACUGCAACUGACACUGAUGCUCGAAAGUGUGGGUAUCAAACAGGAUUAGAUACCCUGGUAGUCCACACAGUAAACGAUGAAUACUCGCUGUUUGCGAUAUACAGUAAGCGGCCAAGCGAAAGCAUUAAGUAUUCCACCUGGGGAGUACGCCGGCAACGGUGAAACUCAAAGGAAUUGACGGGGGCCCGCACAAGCGGAGGAACAUGUGGUUUAAUUCGAUGAUACGCGAGGAACCUUACCCGGGCUUAAAUUGCAUUUGAAUAAUCUGGAAACAGGUUAGCCGCAAGGCAAAUGUGAAGGUGCUGCAUGGUUGUCGUCAGCUCGUGCCGUGAGGUGUCGGCUUAAGUGCCAUAACGAGCGCAACCCUUAUCUUUAGUUACUAACAGGUCAUGCUGAGGACUCUAGAGAGACUGCCGUCGUAAGAUGUGAGGAAGGUGGGGAUGACGUCAAAUCAGCACGGCCCUUACGUCCGGGGCUACACACGUGUUACAAUGGGGGGUACAGAAGGCAGCUACCUGGCGACAGGAUGCUAAUCCCAAAAACCUCUCUCAGUUCGGAUCGAAGUCUGCAACCCGACUUCGUGAAGCUGGAUUCGCUAGUAAUCGCGCAUCAGCCAUGGCGCGGUGAAUACGUUCCCGGGCCUUGUACACACCGCCCGUCAAGCCAUGAAAGCCGGGGGUACCUGAAGUACGUAACCGCAAGGAGCGUCCUAGGGUAAAACUGGUAAUUGGGGCU
rnacentral:rRNA from 1 species